GAGCUCUGGCAAUUCUAUUAUGUGGCAGGUGAAGGAAUGCACGUCAGCCUUGCUGCGUUUUGCGAAGAGGCCUCAUUUGAGCGAGCAAAAAAAUGGGUGCUAGAACUGAAAUCACAAGGGCUGUAAGACGUCAGUUUGCUGUUUGUGCUGGCUUGCUGCAAGAAAAUGGAUCCUUAUUUACUGGCUAUCAUUUUCAUGGAUGCCCACAAUAGCAAAGACAAAUUUAAUCACGC